rnacentral:rRNA from 1 species
UACGAGAGGCCCAAACAUUAUUCGGAAUUACUGGGCUUAAAGCGUUCGUAGGCGGCGCGGAAAGUCGGGUGUGAAAGCCCUCGGCUUAACCGAGGAAUUGCGCUCUAAACUGCCGUGCUAGAGGAAGCUAGAGGUGAGCGGAACUGAUGGUGGAGCGGUGAAAUGUGUUGAUAUUGGAAGGAACACCGGAGGCGAAAGCGGUGUACUGGGGCUGGUCUGACGCUGAGGCACGAAAGCCAGGGGAGCGAACGGG